UACGAAGGGGGGCUAGCGUUGCUCGGAAUCACUGGGCGUAAAGCGCACGUAGGCGGACUCUUAAGUCAGGGGUGAAAUCCCGGAGCUCAACUCCGGAACUGCCUCUGAUACAGCACGUCUUGAGUUCGAGAGAGGUGGGUGGAAUUCCUAGUGUAGAGGUGAAAUUCGUAGAUAUUAGGAAGAACACCGGUGGCGAAGGCGGCCCACUGGCUCGAUACUGACGCUGAGGUGCGAAAGCGUGGGGAGCAAACAGG
rnacentral:rRNA from 1 species